rnacentral:rRNA from 1 species
UAGGGAAUCUUCCACAAUGGACGCAAGUCUGAUGGAGCAACGGCCGCGUGAGUGAAGAAGGUUUUCGGACCGUAAAGCUCUGUUGUUGGUGAAGAAGGAUAGAGGUAGUAACUGGCCUUUAUUUGACGGUAAUCAACCAGAAAGUCACGGCUAACUACGUGCCAGCAGCCGCGGUAAAUCGUAGGUGGCAAGCGUUGUCCGGAUUUAUUGGGCGUAAAGCGAGCGCAGGCGGAAGAAUAAGUCUGAUGUGAAAGCCCUCGGCUUAACCGAGGAAUUGCAUCGGAAACUGUUUUCUUGAGUGCAGAAGAGGAGAGUAGAACUCCAUGUGUAGCGGUGGAAUGCGUAGAUAUAUGGAAGAAUACCAGUGGCGAAGGCGGCUCUCUGGUCUGCAACUGACGCUGAGGCUCGAAAGCAUGGGUAGCGAACAGGAUUAGAUACCCUGGUAGUCCAUGCCGUAAACGAUGAGUGCUAAGUGUUGGGAGGCUUCCGCCUCUCAGUGCUGCAGCUAACGCAUUAAGCACUCCGCCUGGGGGAGUACGACCGC